rnacentral:rRNA from 1 species
UACGUAGGCAGCGAGCGUUGUUCGGGAGUUACUGGGCGUAAAGGGUGUGUAGGCGGUUCUCUAAGUUUGGUGUGAAAUCUCCCGGCUCAACCGGGAGGGUGCGCCGAAAACUGGGGGGACUCGAGUGCGGGAUGGGAGAGUAGAAUUCCUGGUGUAGCGGUGAAAUGCGUAGAUAUCAGGAGGAAUACCGGUGGUGUAGACGGCUCUCUGGACCGCCACUGACGCUGAGACACGAAAGCGUGGGUAGCAAACAGG